rnacentral:rRNA from 1 species
GACGAACUCUGGCGGCGUGCUUAACACAUGCCAGUCGAACGGAAAGGCCCUGCUUUUGUGGGGUGCUCGAGUGGCGAACGGGUGAGUAACACGUGAGUAACCUGCCCUUGACUUUGGGAUAACUUCAGGAAACUGGGGCUAAUACCGGAUAGGAGCUCCUGCUGCAUGGUGGGGGUUGGAAAGUUUCGGCGGUUGGGGAUGGACUCGCGGCUUAUCAGCUUGUUGGUGGGGUAGUGGCUUACCAAGGCUUUGACGGGUAGCCGGCCUGAGAGGGUGACCGGCCACAUUGGGACUGAGAUACGGCCCAGACUCCUACGGGAGGCAGCAGUGGGGAAUAUUGCACAAUGGGCGGAAGCCUGAUGCAGCAACGCCGCGUGCGGGAUGACGGCCUUCGGGUUGUAAACCGCUUUCGCCUGUGACGAAGCGUGAGUGACGGUAAUGGGUAAAGAAGCACCGGCUAACUACGUG